rnacentral:misc_RNA from 1 species
AGCACAUGUGCAGUGCCAUAGCACUUUCUUAUUUUGCUUUUUUGGUUCUUUAUUAGUUACUAAACGUUAUGCUUUUCUGCUCUGAUACUCUUUCAUUCAAGAUAAAUUAUGCUAGAUAAAGAGCUUUGCUGCAUAAUGAAGGAACUUCAAGAAGCAGGCUAAAUUAAUACAAAAUUUUGAUAAUCUUAGCCAUGUAUGCAUCCAUCUAAUCCAGAGGCAUCAUACCUGAGUGAUAGUUGCAACUAAGA